GAAUUCUUUCUGUGGCAAUGAAGGUUCAUUUAACACCCAAUUUUGACCACAAAAAAAAAACUCCAAGCAUCCAAGUUCAAGAAAUUAAUCAAAGCCUGCCGCACCUGAAGCGGUCUGCAAAGCAUGAUUGAAAACCAUAGCACAGCAGCACAAUGAAUUGAUUUUAUCAACAUUAUCUAUUUGCCAUGGGAAAUGGGAAAGAGCUCCAUCUUUAUGUAAAUUUAAACAAUCAAAAGGUCAAAGUGUAGCCACAAUCUCUCUGCAGGCUCUUCAAGAUAAAUCUCUAUCUACAAAUAGACUAUAACAUGAGCACCCAUCCUUUUAUCCCUAUACGGUCAUCAACCUUCUACCAAAUUAACAAUCAUAACUUGCUUCGAUAUAUAUGGUUGGGUACAAUCUAACAAUCAUAGUUUUGUGUGAAAUAAUCUUCUUUUUUAUGUAUACUACUUGGACACGAAAUUUUCCCCCCCAUUUAGUUAAAUAUUACCAUUUACAAAAACAGUUGAGCAAUCAGAAAAAUUGAAGAAAACAAACUGUUUCUCCCCCAAAUCUCAAACUUCAAAGCUUAAACUUGCUAGGUUUAUUCUAAUUCUCCUCCCUUAAACAAAGAAGUGCCAAUUAAUCACACGAAAAAAGGAAGGCGAAAAAAAAAAGAUCAACCUUUUCUCCAAAAUUUCCUUCCUCUUCUUUUGCUCGAAUUCUCAUAGCAACCAAACAAACGACUUCAAAUCGAUCAAAUAACAAAAAGAAAAGCAACUACUUAACGAAAAUAUGGACAUAUUUAUAUUUUUUCUACUGAAAAAUGCUGACCUUUAAUUGAUAAUCAAGAUAGUUGCAAUGUGAUUUCAGGGAAAAUGGAGAAUUAAUCAAUUCAGAAGCUCAGAUUUCUUCUCUCUUAAGGCUAAGGUAUCUUCUCUUUAUCGAAUCUUUUUCUUCUUUCUUUCUUCUUCUUAUUGACAAUCUACUUCUUUCUCGUUGACGUAUCUCGUUGAAAACGUACACUGCCCAAAAUGACCUGUUUUUCUUUUUAUUUCUACUGUCUCCGCCCCACAAGCUUUCGAUAUUCGUGAAACAGCCCCUAAUCUAUUUAUCACCGUUCAUUUAUCAUAGUACUAGAUAGGCGUGCAACCAAUUGAACUCGGAUACGUACCUUUAAUGUUUCUUUGAAAAUAUUUAUUACAAUUAAGUUUGAGUAAAUUAACAAUUUAGUAUAUUUAUCUUUGUAUAUAAUUACUUAGUCAAUAUAAAAUUAAACUUUAUUAAAAUAAGGUGAUUACAAGCCCCGAUUCUCGAGGGGGCACAAUAUUGAUGGUAAUUACGUGAUGACAUUUUGAAUUCAUAUUUUUUCUUUUUAAAAUAUAUUAAUAAAUAAAAUAAAAAACUCUUUUCCUUUUCGCAUUUGACUUUAAAAAUGUUCUUUCUUGCUCUUGAAUUUUCAAUUUUAUUCCAAGUAUGCAU
rnacentral:lncRNA from 1 species